rnacentral:lncRNA from 1 species
GUCAAAUAUUGGAUUUUUUUAUGAGAUGGUUAAAGGAAACUGAGUUUACUAUUGAAAUAAAAUUAAGUACCAGAAGAAAGGAGAAUAAUGACACAGAAAGAAUGCAGGGUCGGACUUUCGACAGUUGUGUGGGUGGAUACCCACACAUGUCAGACCGACCAACAGCAGAAUUGUCUGCCCCAUGGACAUACCUGUUGAGUAAUUUAAGAAAUAUACCAGAUGGAACCAGCGAACAUAAGAUCACAGUUGCAAGAAUGACUAAGAAAGACCUAUUACCAUAUGCAUAAGAAUAGGCAAAAAAUAUAGGACUUUUAAAUUUGUAUGGAUAUGUACUCUAUACAUUUAGAAGUGUUUGUGAAAAAGCGCC